UAGACAAAACUUCUCUUUUGCUUCUUGUACAUACAGCUGAAAUUGUAUAUAAAUAGAGGGUGGCAUUUGCAAAUAGAAACAAGUAAUUGGUUGUAACUUAAACAUAUACACUUUUGUCCCACAUUUUUAUCUUGUCUUGGCCUUUGUUUUUCAUCUUUCAAGAUGCAAAAGCAAGAAAACCAAGUAAACCAACCUCCUCCAGGCUAUCCCACCGAAUUUACUCCAAAUAAGAACAAGAACAAGAUGAAGGGCCGGCCAAGAAGCAAGCCAAGAGGAGAAAGGGGGUUUCUGGAAGGAUGCCUCUUUGCACUAUGCUGCUGCUGGCUAUGUGAAGCUUGUUUUGACUAAACGUAUGUUUGGAAUAUAAAGGAAUCAACUGGUGUUGGUUUAUUCAACUAGCUAGUGAUGCAAUAUAUAUGUACUCGUAUGUGACAUUUUAUCAUGUAACCAAAUAUGUUCUUAGGAUUUGAGACUUUGUAUUGAUGCAGCAUAGUUGUUUAAUGAAGAAUAAAGUACUAAAAUAUAUCAAGAAAA